CUUGAUCGACCCGAGCAGCAACGGCUCGGCACGACCCUGCCCAUAGGUGGCGAGCAGCGCCUGCGCCUC
rnacentral:antisense_RNA from 1 species